GUAAGUGUUAGUGUUUUGUCUGCAUGUAUGUCAGUGCUCCACAGGCAUGCUUGGUGCCUACGGAGGCCAGAAGAGGACAUCAGGUCCCCUGUGAGUUACAGAUAGCUGCGAGCUGCCACGUGGGUACUUAGAAUUGAACUCAGGUUCCCUGGAAGAACAGCCAAUGCUGUUGACUUGGUAAGUCAGUUCUCCAGCCCCAUGGAGCCUGUCUUUUUAUCCUUUCCUUUGUUUGUUUUUGUUUGUUUGCUGGCUUGUUUGCAGGUGUGCUGUGUUGGAUCUCUGGCUUCGAUCUCCUGGACUCAGGUGAGCCUCCUGUCCCAGCCUGUGGAGCAUCUGGGAUUAUCACUGCUUGCUGCCUGUAUACUCGGCAUGUAACCUGACCUUGGACAGACUUGGGCCAAGAAUAUCCAGGACUCUCAGUUUGAAUAUUACCAUGAUUCUAGAAUGUGUGUGUGUGUGUGUGUGUGUGUGUGUGUGUGUGUGCAGGCACAUGUGUGCACACGCUUCCGGAAACUGAACCCAGGGCCUUGUACAUGCUAGAAAUCCCCCCACCACUGAGUUAUACUCUCAGCCCUUUAAAAUAUCUUUAUUAUACUCAUUCUGUGCAUGCAUGCAUUUGGGGUGUAAGCUUGUCUUGCCUCACCACCUGUCUUUCCUCAGUCCAUGAGUGUUGCCUUAGCAAAACUCCACGUGCGUCUUUAUCUGACAUCGUUCUAUCGGUCAGAGUCUUUGGAAGAGGCAAGAAGCCGCAGGAAUCUCUCCAUUUAUUUCUCUCUAUGAGUCUUGACCAUUGGAGCUCAACAACGCAUGUAAAGUGAACCAAUACAUGUGUGUCAUUAUCGAAGAAUCCUUCAUCAUGUGUCCUUUCAUGUGCUUGCUUUAGCAAAACAUUCUUCCACCUGUGUCUGCUUCAGCGAAACGUUCCUUCACAUGUCUGACUCCACCCAACACAACUGACUUUCCAAAGAACUGUUAAGUUUCCACUUCCCAGGGUGGGGGUACAUGCAUGAUGUGUAUGGAGGUCAAAGGACAACUUGUGGGAGUUGGUUCCGUCUUUUCACAGUGUAAGCUAAGGAAGCGCCGGUCAUCGGUCAUUGGCUUGGCAGCAAACACACUGAGAUAGCUCUUUCUAGCCCAACCCUCAGCUUUUCUUUCCUCCUCCCCUUCCUUCCUCCUCCUCCUCCUCUCUUCUUUGUCUUCUCCUUUCUCCCAUCUCAGGCUUGGAGAUAGAAGUUUCUGAUCUGGAUCUUGGUAUGGAGAUCUUAAGGCUUAGUGGCUAUGGAUUCCAGAAGAUUAAAUCUC
rnacentral:lncRNA from 1 species